rnacentral:rRNA from 1 species
AACGCGAAGAACCUUACCAGGUCUUGACAUCCCUCUGAAGUAGCCUUAGCCGGCUAUGUCCUUCGGGACAGGGGAGACAGGUGGUGCAUGGUUGUCGUCAGCUCGUGUCGUGAGAUGUUGGGUUAAGUCCCGCAACGAGCGCAACCCUUGUGUUUAGUUGCCAACAGGUGAAGCUGUGCACUCUAAACAGACUGCCGUGGAUAACACGGAGGAAGGUGGGGAUGACGUCAAAUCAUCAUGCCCCUUAUGAUCUGGGCUACACACGUGCUACAAUGGUCGGUACAACGGGCAGCGAAAGAGUAAUCUGGAGCGAAUCCUAAAAAGCCGAUCCCAGUUCGGAUUGUGGGCUGAAACUCGCCCACAUGAAGUUGGAGUUGCUAGUAAUCGCGAAUCAGAAUGUCGCGGUGAAUGCGUUCCCGGGUCUUGUACACACCG